CAAAGGUUGACCUCGGAUCAGGUAGGAAUACCCGCUGAACUUAAGCAUAUCAAA
rnacentral:rRNA from 1 species